UUUAAAAAUUUAUUAUGAGGGUACCAGAACCUUGAAGGUAACAAAAUCCAAACACCAUGUAAAUUAAAGCCGUUUUUCCAAAGCUCUCAGAUCCUCAUACCGAGAUUUCAACCGAUUGCUUAGACAUCAGUUUCAGAAACUAAUGAUGUAAAAAUGAAAAUUCGUGCAAAAACACUCCAAAGUUUAAAAAUUCAUCAUGAUGAUAUCAGUCUUUGGAAUAGAACCAAAUUCAAACCGCACAUAAAAAUUAGAUUUCGCUUCCGAGUGAUCAAACCCGCAUUUCGAUGUCUCAACUGAUUGAUCAGAAACCGGCUUCAGAAGCAUAUGAUGAAAAAAUUAGAAACCGCGCCAUUACAGUUCAAAGUUUAAAAAUUCAUUACGAUGGUACCAGCACUUUGAAUGCCACCAAAAGCAAACGCCAUGUAAAAUGAAGCUUUUGCUCUGAAGUUCUGAGAUCCUCAUCUGAAAUCUCAACCGAUUGCUUAGACAUCAGCUUCAGAAACUAAUAAAGUAAAAAUGAAAAAUCCAGCAAAAGCACCCAAAAGUUUAAAAAUUCAUUACGAUGGUACCAGUAUUUUGAAUGCAACCAAAUUGAAACCACAUAUAAAAUUGAGCUUUUGCUUUCGAGUACUGAAACCCAUAUUACGGUGUCAGACUGUUGACUGUUUGAUCAGAAACCGGCUUGAGAAGCACAUGAUAAAAAAAUUGGAAACCGUACUUCAAAGUUUAAAAAUUUAUUAUGAGGCUACCAGAACCUUGAAUUCAACCAAAUCCAAACACCAUAUAAAAUGAAGCUUUUGUUCUAAAGCUCUGAGGUCCUCAUUCCGAGACCUCAACCGAUUGCGUAGACAUCAGCUUCAGAAAUUAAUAAUGUAAAAUUGAAAAUUCGUGCAAGAACACUCCAACGUUUAAAAAUUCAUAAUGAUGGUACCAGUCUCUUGAAUAAAACCAAAUUCAAACCACAGAUAACAUGGAGAUUUCGCUUUCGAGUGAUAAAACCCGCAUUCCUAUGUCUCAACUGAUUGAUCAGAAACCGGCUUCAGAAGCAUUUGAUGAAAAAAUUAGAAACCGCGCCAUGACACUUGUAAGUUUAAAAAUGUAUUAUGAUGGUACCAGUCUCUUGAAUAGAACCAAAUUCAAACCACACAAAAUUGAUUGAAAAAUUUCAAACUGCGCCAUGACACUUCAAAGUUUAAAAAUUUAUUACGAGGGUACCAGCACUUUGAAUGCCACCAAAGCCAAACAUCAUGUAAAAUAAAACUUUGUCUUUACACAAAAUAUUGAGCCAAGCAGGGGAGAAUGGUGAACUUUCCAAGGUCGAAAGGUACCGUCGUUGGAAAUCUCGCUAAGAAAAAAGUGUUAUUAAGGGGAUAAUCUACAACGGAAGUCACUCUUUAUUAUCGAAAUCUAGAGAGCCCAAAACCAGAUAAUUACUUUUUCUUUACGUGAAUUAAACACAAAGUUAAACGGUUCUUAUACACAAUUAUCAAUAUUAAGGACAGUUCGAGUUUUAAGUCGUUUUUGCUCAAUCUUAACUAGUUAAAAUGGCCAUAGUAGAGACUGCUUUACUAUGUAAAAUAGGAGUGUUCUGCUGCGAUCACAUCUUCAAUGCGAAUUUUUGACCCAUUUUUCAAACCGUUGGCAAAAAUCAGGCUUUAGUGCGAUUGAAGUGGAAAUUUAAGGGCUAUCAACCACAUGAAUCCUCUAUAGGGUGUCAACGUUUCAAGUUGCUACUUGCUCUAAAUGGAAAGUUAUGAAUUUUUAAAGGAAAGCGUGCAGUUGAGUAAAAGUGCGAAAUAUGCGUCGGUCUUAAUAGUGCAAUCCAAGUAAAGCAUUCACAAAUCACAGCACAUUUUGCGAAUGGUAUGUACUUUGAUUCUGGUGGAUCUGCUCAAAAUUGUACAGCCUCUCACAAUAGAUCAAGCCAAAAAGGUUUUUACGUUUCAUGACAAUUGAGCAAACGAUUGAUCGGAGAGCGAGUAUUUAAUUGAGCAUUCGAAAGUCGCCACAUGAAUGGGGAUGUUUGUUUAUCUUUACCCGAGAAAGCAACUUUGUUUACGCUAAAUAUCCAAACCAGUUCGAUAUUGAACGGGAAAUUUCUAGAAAAUCGCCAAUAAGAAAAAAACUGAAAUCGAACAGCAAGCAAUACAAUGAGUCACCCAAAGGGCCAGCAAGCAAACCGAUUCUAUCAUUAUGUAAGUUCUGUACCUCGAUGCGUUUUAUAUGUGAUAAACAACUUAAUUUCGCAUGAGUUUUAUCGGAAAGCACAUUUAGUUCAGUCUAUUAUGGGCAAGGGACUAAAUCGGUUGGCGGUUCUUUGUUCAUAAACGGGAUAAAAAUACCAAUUUGGUGCCAUUUAGGCACGAACGGUCGACCAUCUUACCUGUUAAUUGCUGAGUGUAAUCCACAUUUAUUUUCAACUUUUGUGGAAUUUCAUUGCCUGUUCGUGUAGUGUGUGCUUUCUGAAGCUUAAGGGAGAGACAAUGGAGAAUCGGGCGCAAGUUUGCUAAAAGCAGCUUUCGGUAAAUUUGGCAUUACUUUUCCCUUGGUUGCCAUGUAGAUGUAGAACUUUUAGUCCCAUAUUGCUGACUUGUGUUGUAUUAUAUAAUUGCUAUUACGACGGCCUUUGUAUUUGCCUGAUUUACACGAGAUCCACCCCUAGAGCAGCAUUGUCGGCUGCGGCAAUUAUGGUGGAUUUGGAGCAAAAAAUUAUAGUUGUAGGUUCCCGUAAAAAGUAACUCUCUAUAUAUGGAUAUUAAAAUUUGAAGGUAAAAAACCGGUUUGUUAAAAUGUUCUUGAUUGUUACACGUAUACUGACUAUGUACCGAUGAUCUUCGCAUCUCAUUUAUUUAAAGAAACAUAGUAAAACUUCAGAAAGGUUAUUGUUAAUCGAUGAUUAUGUAUCAUCAAUUGUAAUAGCUGCUAUAAAGAUGUUCAUCCGAUUAUUGAUAACUUUUGCUUUAUAACGAUGUCAAAUAUCCUCCAAAAACCAUUAUUAAAUAGUGAUUUUGUUUAUCAUAACUUUAUUUAAAUUUUCUAAUAUGGAAUAUUUGUAGUUUCAGUGUAAAAAAUACCAAUACAUGUUUAUACAAUUGC